rnacentral:rRNA from 1 species
UUAAAUUGAAGAGUUUGAUCAUGGCUCAGAUUGAACGCUGGCGGCAGGCCUAACACAUGCAAGUCGAGCGGCAGCGGGAAAGUAGCUUGCUACUU